CUAAACGCGAGGUUUGAGGUGAAAUGCGCUCUUAAGGUUGCACGGAAGCAGUCGUGGGUGCUGCAGUGCUAAGUGAAGGGGGCUGAUGCUGGGAUAGUGCAAAAGGAGGAAAUUUCGUUCUUGGCCAUUUUGCUGAGGCAGAAAAGGACAUUGUUGAGUCCCUCAGCUCUUCUCCAGGAAUCAUCUCUCCAUCCCAGCCAUCAUGUCCGAUCAACUGAAGGUGUACCCGGGGGUCCGGGUGAAGAUCACGGUCAAGGAGUUGCUGCGGAGGCACAGAGAGAAGGAGGCCAACAACAAGAAGCUUAAUGCGCAGAUGCAUCAGGCUUGCUUGGAACUACAGGAGCUUCGCGCGUCCACUUUCCAAAGUGGCCAUGUGGCUCCUCCUCCCUCUGUCCCCCCAGCUGAAGCCAGCAGCUGCGGGUCGCUGGCCCUCCAGCUUCGAGCCACCAUCUCGUUUCCAGUCCCUGACAGCGCGUGCAACAUCCAGAUGCAGGAGUGCGGCAUCCAGGUGCAGCAGCAGCAGCAGUUUGGGGAUGUGAUGUUGCCCGGCAACGGAUACGGUGGUACCACCUACGACACCCCUCUGCCUCCUUUUCCAACCUCCCCUCAGCCUUGGUACCACGGACUGUCCUCAGAUGCGGACUACUACGGCCAGGGGAUGGCCCCUUGCUCCUCAUUGGAGUCACUGACUUUCUGCAACCCUGUGGAUCCCAACACUUAUUCCCCACAGGACUCCUUCUCUUCCUCCUCCUCCUCCUCAUGCUAUGACUCGCCCACCAGAAUGGAGUCAAGCUUCAGCCCACAGCAAUACCACUAUCAGCACUGUGGCCCCCAGGAAUAUUACAGCUUGCCACACUGUUGGUCAGGCCAGCAGGAGAGCCCCCCCACCCCAGAAUGCGCACCUUACUUUGCUCCCACAGACUAUCCCCAGGUGUAUCCUGUAGAAGACAGCUGUUUCCAGAAGGAUUUCCCGCUGAGCUCUGAGAUGUGCUACAAUGCUUUAUGAUGAGACCGUGAACAGUAUUACUUUGUAUCCUGACUGUAAAUACGAUUUGGCUCAGUGAGGUUGUUUGCUUUGCAUUUCACUUGGUCUGCUUUACUUUAAUCAAUUCAUUUGUAAUAAAAACUAAAUGAUAUAUUUUCAUACGCUAAUGUUUUGCUGCACAAAAUAAAAAUGUGUAAAAGUCAGCACUGUGCUUGUAAUGUGCGCUUGUCUAUUGCAGAGUUUCCACUGUAAAAGUCGGGAUGUUUGCUUCAGCCAGCAGGUUCAGACUUCACCCUGUGAACAUGCCCUGUAGCCACAGGUAACAAAUAAAAGUGAAAAAUGUGGGAAGAGUGUGAAAGUAAAUAUCACAGGCUGAUAACAUGUCAGGGCUGAACUCAGCUGUAACGCAACAAUUGGAAAUGAAGGCAAGGAAACGUCUGAGAUUUGACUUUGGCCUGCAGGGCAGUAUUUCACUGGGAGUUCAGAGAUCAAAGGAGAACAGAUUAACAGACAAGCCGACUCACAGUGGCUGCAGCUCAGCUAACAGAGCAGGACGUCUGCUAAUCAGAGGGUUGGUUUGGCUUUUUCAAGAAUGCUUGAGCUCCGAGUUGUCGCGUAAUGCUGGAGUCGCUGUGUGUGAAUGAGACUGGUAUUUAAAAAGUACUUUGACUCCUCAGACAGGUGUCAGUCCAUUUAUCUGAUUUUUUCAACAAACUCUCAAUAAUUUCUCCAGACUGUGAAACAAGCACUGUUGAAGCUGCAACCCCCUC
ensembl:lncRNA